UACGAAGGACCCGAGCGUUAUCCGGAUUUAUUGGGUUUAAAGGGUGCGUAGGCGGAUUUACAAGUCAGUGGUGAAAUCUCCCAGCUUAACUGGGAAACUGCCAUUGAAACUGUUUAUCUUGAGUACAUUUGAGGCGGGCGGAAUGUGUCAUGUAGAGGUGAAAUUCUUAGAUAUGACACAGAACACCAAUUGCGAAGGCAGCUCGCUAAACUGUAAACUGACGCUGAGGCACGAAAGCGUGGGGGAUCAAAACAGG
rnacentral:rRNA from 1 species